ensembl:snoRNA
CAUAGAUGAUGAAUUUACUGAUGGUCUGAAAGAGACUGUAUGCUGUGUCAUGUUCUGAUCUG